UUGUAAACACUUAGUACAAUGAACUCUCUUAUUUCCUCACAAAUAUAAAUAAAAAUUUAUAAAUGAUCAAUUAAAAUAGACUCUUCAAGUGUUCUUUGUACCUGUGUAACCAUUUAUAUGUAAUAUAAACUUGUACAUCAAUAAAUAUUUACAUAUUUUUAAGUGGGCGUAGGAUACCGCAUUUUCACAUUUGAUUCUAAUAAAAGUAUAUAAAUUGUGUGUUUUGUUGUGGUAAUUACUAAAAAUUAGUGAUGUUUAAAUAUCCUCUAAUGUGUACAUAUAUCAAGAUUUCAUUGUAACAUAUUUUAAAAUGAUGGCAGACAUGUAACACUAUGCAGACCCAGAGACGGAGCAUGGAGGCGAGCAGCGAGGCCAGCUACUGUGAGAGGGAGACUUGGGAGGACUGGGGCAGUCACUCCUCGCUCAGCCAAGUGGACGAGGU